CUUGACGCCGCCAGAGGGACUGAGGUAACCAGGUUCAGACGUACCAUUGUUAAAGAACACGGGGUUCCAAAGUGCUGCUCAAAUGGGGAUUUCUGUGAGCAUGUCUUGGCGACAUCUCCGUUCGAGGUGGUUCAUAACGUUGGCGUUUUACAGAACUGAAUGCGGAGAGUGAAAAGGGGUCAGCGGUCGUUUAAAUGCUUUAAAAUAAUGCAGCUCUCCACAGAUGGUCUCUUCCAUCCGACUUCAUCCAGCGUGGUGGUGCACGUGCGGCCGUCCUCGUUUCACCGGAGCACGCUGGAGGGGUGACGUAAUGUCGUCAGGACGCAUGCAUAAGGAGACCAUGAUGUAAUGUUGUUUAUUUGUGUUUAAAUAUCCAUUCUUAUGUCAGAUUGUUUUUUUUCCAUAACAUGUUCCUGUGUCAGGUCCAAUCAGUGUGCGUGUGGACGUAACGCUGUGGUUGUGCUCAUCAUAUAUGCAGAGGUGGAGCUGGAUGAUUUUUAAGCGUGUAAGACCAUCACUCACACUGAGGUGGCAUAAUGUAUUUUGUUGUUUUAGGAAAUCACACAUCUCCACAGACUUGACACCUUUUACAGGAUGCACUGACUUAAAAAUUACCUUCUGUGUUCAGUGGUAGAACCAGAUAGUUUCUCCUGGGUGAGACCAUUAACCACACUGAGGUGGCUGAGAUGUCUCAGUUUUUUCUAUCUCUGAAGGCCAACCAGUCAUUUCAUUGGUAACUUACCAUUAUCAUUUGCUUAUGCAGGUAAGACUGCCACUAGAAACGCAUAAGAACUCAUGUACAGUAUAAUAAACUGUUUAUGUAAUCAUGUAAUCCCUCAGUCUCUUAUCAUCAUCUCAGGAGACUUUAAUCAUGCAUCGCUCUCUGCCACUCUCCCCACGUUCACCCAGUACGUGACCUGCCAUACCAGAGACAAUAAAACCCUGGACCUGCUGUAUGCAAACAUCAAGGAUGCAUACAGCUCCUCCCUCCUCCCCCAGCUGGGCCAAUCAGAUCACAACCUGGUGAGACUGCAGCCCAUUUACAUACCUAUGGUGAAGAAACAACCCCCCACCACCAGGUAUGUGAAGAAGUGGUCUGACGAGGCCACUGAGGCGCUGCAGGACUGCUUUGAGACCACAGACUGGGAUGUGCUGUGUGGUCCACACGGGGAGGACAUUGAUGCACUGACGGACACUAUCACGGACUACAUUAACUUCUGUGCAGAGAACAUCGUACCGACCAGGAAAGUACGGUGUUUCUCUAACAGCAAACCCUGGGUGUCCCUGGAACUGAAGGCCCUGCUGAAGGAGAAGAGGAGGGUUUUUGGAUCUGGGGACAAAGAGGAGCUGAGGAGGGUGCAGAAGGAGAUAAAGAAGAAGAUCAAGGCG
ensembl:lncRNA